AUUGAACGCUGGCGGCAUGCCUUACACAUGCAAGUCGAACGGCAGCACGGGUGCUUGCCCCUGGUGGCGAGUGGCGAACGGGUGAGUAAUACAUCGGAACAUGUCCUGUAGUGGGGGAUAGCCCGGCGAAAGCCGGAUUAAUACCGCAUACGAUCUACGGAUGAAAGCGGGGGACCUUCGGGCCUCGCGCUAUAGGGUUGGCCGAUGGCUGAUUAGCUAGUUGGUGGGGUAAAGGCCUACCAAGGCGACAAUCAGUAGCUGGUCUGAGAGGACGACCAGCCACACUGGGACUGAGACACGGCCCAGACUCCUACGGGAGGCAGCAGUGGGGAAUUUUGGACAAUGGGCGAAAGCCUGAUCCAGCAAUGCCGCGUGUGUGAAGAAGGCCUUCGGGUUGUAAAGCACUUUUGUCCGGAAAGAAAUCCUUGGCCCUAAUACGGUCGGGGGAUGACGGUACCGGAAGAAUAAGCACCGGCUAACUACGUG
rnacentral:rRNA from 1 species